rnacentral:rRNA from 1 species
AGAGGAGCCUGUUCUAUAAUCGAUAAUCCCCGAUAAACCUCACCACCUAUUGCCAAUACCGCCUAUAUACCACCGUCCAGCCCGCCCUUUAAAGGGUAAACAGCAGGCAUAAUUAUAAACAUAAAAACGUCAGGUCAAGGUGUAGCAGAUAAGGUGGAAAGAAAUGGGCUACAUUUUCUAACUUAGAAAACACGGAUGAUUCUAUGAAAUAGUUUCUGAAGGAGGAUUUAGCAGUAAAAAGAAAUAAGAAUGUUCUUUUUAAAACGGCAAUAAAGCGCGCACACACCGCCCGUCACCCUC